rnacentral:tRNA from 1 species
AUAGCUCAGUUGGGAGAGCACCUGCCUUACAAGCAGGGGGUCACAGGUUCAAGUCCUGUUGAGA